CCUGGUUGGUACUUCCAUUAGUCUAAUUUCUUGUCUCAAAGAUUAGGUCAUGCAUGUGUAUGUAUGAACUAAUUUAGAUUGUAAAACUGCGAAUGGUUUAUUAAAUUAGUUAUAGUUUGUUUGGUGGUAUCUACUAUUCGAAUAAUUAUACUAAUUGUAGACCAAAUACGUGUAGCAAACCCCAACUUCUGGAAGGGAUGUAUUUAUUAGAUAAAAGUUCAACUCGGGCUCUGCUUAUUGCAACAAUGAUUUAUGAUAACUCGAUGUAUCGCACGGCCAUCGUGUCAGCGAUGCAUUAUUCUAAUUUCUACCAUAUCAACUGCAAUGGUAGGAUACUGGCCUACCAUGGUGGUAACUGGUGAUGGAGAAUUACUAUUCAAUUUUGGAGAAGGAUCCUGAGAAAUGGCUACCAUAUCCAAGGAAGACAGCAGGCGUGCAAAUUUCCCAAUCUUUACACAGUGAGGUAGUUACAAUAAAUAAUAAUAUCGGGUUCAAUGAUUAUGGUAAUUGGAAUGAGUAGAAUCUAAAUCCCUUAACAAGGAUCAGCUAGAGGGCAAUUUUGGUGCCAAGAGCGGUGGUAAUUCCAGCUAUAACAGCGUAUAUUUAAGUUAUUUCAGUUAAAAAGCUCGUAGUUGUACUUUGGGAUGGGCCGGCUAGUCUACCUAUUGUGUACACCAGUCGUCUUAUCCCUUCUGUCAGUGAUGCGCUCUGGACCAUAGCUAUCUAGGUCGUUCCAUCAGUGCUCUUACUUUGGAGAAAUUAGAGUUCUCAAAGAAAGUUUGCUCUUUGUAUACAUUAGUAUAGGAUAACAUUGUAGGAUUUCGGUACUAUUACAUUGGCCUUUGGGAUAGGAGUAAUUAUUAACAGGGACUAUUGGAUACAUUUGUAUUUCAUAGUCAGAGGUUAAAUUAUUGGAUUUAUGAAAGACAAAGAAAUAUUAAAGCAUUUAUAAAGGAUGUUUUCAUUAAUCAAGAAUGAAAGUUGGGGGACCAUAUAUGAUCAGAUAUCCUCCUAGUCUUAACCAUAAAUGAAAAUGACCAGGGAUCGACUGAUGUUGCAUUUAGGACUCCGCCAACACCUUAUGUGAAAUCAAAGUUUUUGGCUUCUGGGGUGAAUAUGGCAACGCUGAAACAUAAAGUAAUUAAUGGAAGUGCAGUAUAAGGAGUGGAUCCUGCAUCUUAAUUUAAAUCAACGCUGGGAAACUUACCAUGUCCAGACAUAGUAAGGAUUGACAGACUGAGUGAUCUUUCUUUAUUCUAUAGGUAGUGGUUCAUGGCCGUUCUUAUUGGUGGAGCGAUUUGUCUGGGUAAAUUAUUUAACAAAUGAUACCUCAGCCUGAUAAAUAUUUAUGUGGAGGUAUCCCUUCGCGUCCAGCUUAUUAUAGGGACUAUCACUUUUUAUGUCGCGAAUAUGAGGCAAUAACUAGUCUUCGAUUCCCUUUAUGGUUUUAGGCUAGACGCGUGCUACACUGAUGUGUUAUAAAAGCUUAUAGCCUUUGCCGACAGGCCCGGUUAAUCUUUUAAAUUUCAUCAUGACGGGGAUCGAUCAUUGCAAUUGUUGGUCUUCAACAAGGUAUUUCUAGUUAGCAUGAUUUAUCAGCUCGCAUUGAUUAUUUCACUGUACUUUGUACACCCCGCCCAUCAGUCCUACCGAUUGAAUGAUCAGAUAAAAUGUUUGGAUUGCGACGACGUGGGAAGUUCGUUGCCCAUAACAUCGCAAAAAGUCUAUUUAACCUUAUCAUUUAAAGGAUAGAGAAGUAGUAACAAGGCUUCCAUAGGUGAAUCUAUGGAAG
rnacentral:rRNA from 1 species